rnacentral:rRNA from 1 species
UAGAGUUUGAUCCUGGCUCAGAUUGAACGCUGGCGGCAUGCCUUACACAUGCAAGUCGAACGGCAGCAUAGGAGCUUGCUCCUGAUGGCGAGUGGCGAACGGGUGAGUAAUAUAUCGGAACGUGCCCUAGAGUGGGGGAUAACUAGUCGAAAGAUUAGCUAAUACCGCAUACGAUCUACGGAUGAAAGUGGGGGAUCGCAAGACCUCAUGCUCAUGGAGCGGCCGAUAUCUGAUUAGCUAGUUGGUGGGGUAAAAGCUCACCAAGGCGACGAUCAGUAGCUGGUCUGAGAGGACGACCAGCCACAUCUGGGACUGAGACACGGCCCAGACUCCUACGGGAGGCAGCAGUGGGGAAUUUUGGACAAUGGGCGCAAGCCUGAUCCAGCCAUACCGCGUGGGUGAAGAAGGCCUUCGGGUUGUAAAGCUCUUUUGUCAGGGAAGAAACGGUUGCAGCUAAUAUCUGCGACUAAUGACGGUACCUGAAGAAUAAGCACCGGCUAACUACGUGCCAGCAGCCGCGGUAAUACGUAGGGUGCAAGCGUUAAUCGGAAUUACUGGGCGUAAAGCGUGCGCAGGCGGUUGUGUAAGUCAGAUGUGAAAUCCCCGGGCUCAACCUGGGAAUUGCAUUUGAGACUGCACGGCUAGAGUGUGUCAGAGGGGGGUAGAAUUCCACGUGUAGCAGUGAAAUGCGUAGAUAUGUGGAGGAAUACCGAUGGCGAAGGCAGCCCCCUGGGAUAACACUGACGCUCAUGCACGAAAGCGUGGGGAGCAAACAGGAUUAGAUACCCUGGUAGUCCACGCCCUAAACGAUGUCUACUAGUUGUCGGGUCUUAAUUGACUUGGUAACGCAGCUAACGCGUGAAGUAGACCGCCUGGGGAGUACGGUCGCAAGAUUAAAACUCAAAGGAAUUGACGGGGACCCGCACAAGCGGUGGAUGAUGUGGAUUAAUUCGAUGCAACGCGAAAAACCUUACCUACCCUUGACAUGGAUGGAAUCCUGAAAGAUUUAGGAGUGCUCGAAAGAGAACCAUCACACAGGUGCUGCAUGGCUGUCGUCAGCUCGUGUCGUGAGAUGUUGGGUUAAGUCCCGCAACGAGCGCAACCCUUGUCAUUAGUUGCUACGAAAGGGCACUCUAAUGAGACUGCCGGUGACAAACCGGAGGAAGGUGGGAAUGACGUCAAGUCCUCAUGGCCCUUAUGGGUAGGGCUUCACACGUCAUACAAUGGUACAUACAGAGGGCCGCCAACCCGCGAGGGGGAGCUAAUCCCAGAAAGUGUAUCGUAGUCCGGAUUGGAGUCUGCAACUCGACUCCAUGAAGUUGGAAUCGCUAGUAAUCGCGGAUCAGCAUGUCGCGGUGAAUACGUUCCCGGGUCUUGUACACACCGCCCGUCACACCAUGGGAGUGGGUUGCACCAGAAGUAGCUAGUCUAACCUUCGGGAGGACGGUUACCACGGUGUGAUUCAUGACUGGGGUGAAGUCGUAACAAGGUAACC